ACUAGCCCAUGCCACCCCAGGUCGCAGCAUGUGAAGGCAGGGCCCCUGUCUCUGUGCAGGAGGGACUGGCAAACCCCAGAGAGACAGGCAGCCACGACGGACCAACCCUGAGCCAGAGAGCACACAUAGGGCAGGGCCAUGGUGUGUGCCCCAAUUUGUGUUUUUGUGUCAUAUUCAGAUGUAAAGAGCUUAUUGAUUUAGUAAGCCCUUUGGUGACAUGAGCUGUCACCAACACCUGAGGACUGUGUGGAAUGGGUAAUUUGGAGGGUGUGGCUUUUGAAUUGGUUCUUGAAGGUUGUACAGAAAUGCUAGCUUUAAAGAUACAGAAUAGAGAGGCAAGAGAUGAAGCGCACCGGUGAAGAGAAAGGAAGCAUUUCAGGGAGCAGUAAGCCACAGAUUGGCUGGACUGGAGAGGCUGACAAUGAGUGUGGGUACAGGACGGACCGGUAGGAUUACUAAAAGCCCCCAGCAUGGGAGGAGACCGGCCCUUCCUGCUGUGAAGAUGAGAGCCAACAAUUUUCCACAGAACUUCACAGUAUAUCCAGAGCAAUGCAGCCCUGUCAAUGUGUUAGAGACAUUAAGCAACUUUGGCUAAUUUCACAACAAAGGAAGAGGUGGGGUCAGAACUGGAAGAACCCUGAGCUUCUUUAUCCAGCACCAGGAUUGCCUAUACCAGUGGAAGUUGUUCAGUGGGAAGUUACACAAUCCAGCCCUGCUUGGAUGGUUAACCUGGGUUGUGGCAGUGAAGGAUUUGACCGUGGGAACUUAACAGGUUGGGAGAUCCUGGAGGAGUCUGUGAUACAGUAGAUACUGUGACAUGUCACCCAGGUCCCUCUUCAGGAAAGAAGGACUUACUCCCCCUCCCCGUCAGCUAUUGGUAGUGUCGCUGGCAGAAAGCCCUCAGAUGCCCACUAUUCUAAGAGGACCUCUUCCCCCAUUCCCUGGGCAGCUGUAUCCCAAGAUUGGUCCUGCAGGUACCUAACUGCAUGGCUUCCAUGCCCUACUCAAGGCAACUCUGAUGGGCCAUCCCAGUUCCAGAACUCCCAGUGGCAUGGGCUGAGGACUUCAGUGGGACUGCAUCAUAGCCCCAUUUCUUUCUCUGCCCACUUCUGCUUUCCUCCCUUCCCUUCCUCAUUGUUCAUCCCAGGAGCAAGCCCCGAUAAACUUCCUGAAUGCUCUUCUCUGCCUUGGAGUCUGUUUCCUGAGGAGCUUAACCUGCCUCUGUCUGAAGAAAUAUCACAGGUAAUUGAAAUAGCCAGUUUAAUGAAAGAAUUCGCAUAACUUUUUCACUUUGGGAGAGAGAGACAUCAAAAUUCAAUUGGAGGCUUCAAUCCUGUUCAAAAUUAUACUCCUAAUGCAUACAGGGAAGUCCCUAGUAGGAUAAAGUACAGGGUAGGGGGAAGAGCAAAGAAAGAUCAAAACAAAGACAAACUUUCCAGAUGGGAAGUUAUAAAUGUGGGAGUGAAACUCAGGAAGAACAGAGAGAGUUAGAGACAGGGUCUGGGAGUCAGCUCAGCAGAGGCCAUCUCUGAAGUCAUGAUGGUAGAUGAAACUCUGAGAGGCAAGACGCUGAGUAGAGGACUCUGGCAACACCCAAGAAAUGGGAAAGGCAAGAAGAAUCUGUAGAGGUUAGAGAAGAAACAUCAUCUGCAUAGAAGGAUGAUCAAGACCGGAAAAUACCACAGAAACUAAGAGAAAAGAAAAUCUCAAGGAGAGAUUUGGCAAGCAGAGGUCCAGGAGAGAUGUUUUAACACCACAAAGAUGUUUUGCAAGAGUAGAUGAGUAUACAUGUAUGUGCCUGAGUGACAGAGGGCAAAAGUCAAAAUUACAGGACAAAUGGCUGGUUGAAAGAGAGGGGUGAGACUUACCAGCAGGAAAACGGGAUGGUAGCUUGAGAGAAAAGAAGGGCUGAGGAGAUAUUUUGAACCUGUGUAUAAGUUGAGGAACAGGAAGCAGGGAAGAGGAGAUGCUAGAGAGAGGAGAGAGGAGCGAACCUGCUGAGACAACCCAGAGCAGGAGCUGGGAAGGAGGGAAAAGAGGAGUUAACCCCAAAUCCAGGUAGAGCAUCACACCUCAUUCUCUGUCACCGGAGGAGAGGGAGUGGGGGAUAAAGGAGAUUUUUUUUUUUUUUGAGAUGGAGUUUUGCUCUCAUUGCCCAGGCUGGAGUGCAAUAGCACGAUCUCGGCUCACCAAAACCUCCGCUUCCUGGGUUUAAGCGAUCCUCCUGCCUCAGCCUCCCGAGUAGCUGGGAUUACAGGCAUGUACCACCAUGCCCGGCUAAUUUUGUAUUCUUAGUAGAGACGGGGUUUCUCCAUGUUGGUCAGGCUGGUCUCAAACUCCUGACCCCAGGUGAUCUGCCCGUCUCGGCCUCCCAAAGUGCUGGGGUUACAGGCAUGAGCCACCAUGCCCAGCGGGAUAAAGGAGAUGUUAUCACUAGAGAGGAGGCUGUGUGAGAAGGAUGCAGGCAAUCAGAUUUAUUCUCAAUGAAGGAGAACGGUAAUAGAUGGGGGUGGAGGGUAGAGGAGAGGGCAUGUAAGUCAGGGAAGAGGUUUAGAAGCAGUGCUGAGAGGAAUUCAGAAAGUGAUGAAUGGAGGUGAAUAUGAGUGUUGUCAAGCAGCUUCAAGGACUUGGAGGUGAAUGCAGUAAUCUCAGGCAGCACUCCUCAGACUCUCCCAGCCAAGUGCAACAGCCAGAGUGGAGAAAACAGGUGAGGGGAUGAAGCUCUGGAGACUGGCACAGGGCUUGAGCAGACUUCAAGGCAGCAGGACUUCAGAAAGCCAGAUGGACAGCUGUGAAAAGCUCAGAGAUAGCCUUGGCUGAGGAGGCACAGGAAAGAGCCAAGAAAGAUGUGGCCGUGAGGUCAGGAAGAAGGAGCAGGCAGGAGGGAGUGCGAUAAGGGGAAAUCCCAUGGAGAAUACGAACAAAGAGAGUGCUGAGAACGAGAUCCUGAAGACACAGCUCAAGGGUCUGGAACAACAUGGUAUACUAAUAGAAAAAGUUAGAACUUCACAUCUUGUUCAAAGAGAAUGUUAUGGGUAUGGAUGGUGACUGAAAACUAAUAUUAAGAUUCCUGUUCACAGAUGAGGAAAAGAAGUAAUAACUUCUAUAUCACAAACCUUAAAAUCUUUAAGAGAACACUACUCAAGUUUAUAUAAUUCUUGUGGAUUUAAUGACUGUAUUUCUUUAGUAGUCAUAUAUUUUGAAAAUCAUAUUUGUAUGCUGUUCCUAAAUAUAAAACAAACAGCAUUUUCAUGAUGUUUUGCAGUUCUCUCACAACGAGUUUAUUUGGAGAACUGGUUUAAGUGUAGAGAAAAGAAAUUUAAAAAAUUUACAGAGCUGGAUGCCGUGGCUCAAGCCUGUAAUCCCAGCACUUGGGGAGGCCAAUGCAGGAGGACCACUUGAAGCCAGGAGUUUGAGGCCAGCCUGGGAAGCAAAGUGAGACCCCAUCUCUUAAAAUAAAUAAAUAAAUAAAUAAUUAACUUUUUAAUUAGCUGUGCAUGGUGGCGCACACCUGUGCUCCCAGUUACUUGGGAGGCUGAGGUGGAGGGACUACUUGAGAACAGAAGUUUGAAGUUACAGUGAGCCAUGAUCAUGUCUCUGCACUCCAGCCUGGGCGACUAAGUGAGACCUUUUCUCUAAAAAGAAAUUAAUAAAUAAAUAAAAAUUUUCAUGUUCUCAAUGAGAGGAUUAGCUUUUUAGGGCAGUCCUUUCAAACAGAGUAAAGGAAAGACAGCCAGAGUUUAUCAAAUAAAACAGCAGAACCAUCUUACCCGUGCAGUUUCUUUCCUCCAUGUCUAGAGCAAAGCCACUAUUGCAACGGCAUUUGAAGCUUCCGAUUGUAUUUCUGCACUUCCCAUAAGUGCACAUCCCAGGAAAUGCUUUGCAUUCAUUGAUGUCUAAAAGCAGAAUGAAGCCAGAAUGUAGAGCCGGUUGAUAUAAACGAUUAGGUCCAUCACUUUAAGUUAAAAAUCUAUCAUGAUGGACAACAGUAAUGCAUCCAAGUAAAAAACAGGGCUACUAAAUGUUUCAGUGAUCACACUGAUAUCACACAGGAAGUUUCAAUAUGGUGAAAAAGAUCUUAUAUUCUUUUUUUUUUUUUUUUU
rnacentral:lncRNA from 1 species